UUCCUACGGGAGGCAGCAGUGAGGAAUAUUGGUCAAUGGUCGGGAGACUGAACCAGCCAAGCCGCGUGAGGGAUGAAGGUACAGAGCAUCGUAAACCUCUUUUGUCAGGGAACAAAGGCGGGGACGUGUCCCCGGAUGAGGGUACCUGAAGAAAAAGCAUCGGCUAACUCCGUGCCAGCAGCCGCGGUAAUACGGAGGAUGCGAGCGUUAUCCGGAUUUAUUGGGUUUAGAGGGUGCGCAGGCGGCCUGUUAAGUCAGCGGUAAAAGCCCGGGGCUCAACCCCGGCGAGCCGUUGAAACUGGCGG
rnacentral:rRNA from 1 species